UCACAUUUCCCUAACAAAAACCCUACCAUUUUCACCCCCACUUACACACACAAGCACACAGAGCACGAUGGCCGCUGCCGCUGCCGCCGCUGCCCGUCCUCUGGUCACCGUGCAGUCUCUUCUGUCUCUCAAUGAGAUGGCCACGGAUUCUGCCAGUACAUUGGCUCUUCCUGACGUGAUGAAGGCUUCGAUCCGGCCUGAUAUUGUGAACUUCGUCCACGCCAAUAUUUCCAAGAACAGCCGCCAACCCUACGCUGUGUCCAAGCGCGCUGGUCACCAGACCUCCGCCGAGUCUUGGGGUACAGGACGUGCCGUUUCCCGUAUCCCUCGUGUCCCUGGUGGUGGUACUCAUCGUGCUGGCCAGGGUGCUUUCGGUAACAUGUGUCGUGGCGGGCGCAUGUUUGCUCCUACUAAAAUCUGGCGCCGCUGGCACCGUAAGAUCAAUGUGAAUCAGAAGAGAUAUGCUGUGGUUUCUGCUAUUGCUGCCUCUGCUAUUCCCUCUCUGGUGAUGGCUCGUGGGCAUAGGGUGGAAUCUGUCCCUGAAAUGCCCCUGGUCAUCAGCGAUUCUGCAGAGAGCGUUGAGAAAACUUCAGCUGCGAUCAAGGUGUUAAAGGAGAUCGGUGCUUAUCCUGACGCUGAGAAGGCCAAGGACAGCCACGCGAUCCGGCCAGGAAAGGGUAAGAUGAGGAACCGCCGGUACAUAUCUCGCAAGGGACCACUGAUUGUGUACGGAACUGAAGGAGCCAAGUUGGUCAAGGCUUUCAGGAACAUUCCAGGAGUGGAGGUGGCCAACGUGGAUCGUCUCAAUCUCUUGAAGCUAGCUCCUGGUGGCCAUCUAGGUCGUUUUGUUAUCUGGACCAAGUCUGCUUUCGAGAAGCUGGACUCUAUCUACGGGUCAUUUGAGAAGUCAUCUGAGAAGAAGAAAGGUUAUGUGCUGCCUAGGGCCAAGAUGGUGAAUGCUGACCUUGCUAGAAUCAUCAACUCUGAUGAGGUGCAGUCCGUAGUGAAGCCGAUCAAGAAGGAGGUUAAGAGGGCUCCAUUGAAGAAGAAUCCUCUCAAGAAUUUGAACGUUAUGCUGAAACUAAACCCUUAUGCCAAGACUGCUAGGAGGAUGUCUCUUUUAGCUGAAGCCCAGCGCGUCAAGGCUAAGAAGGAGAAGCUAGACAAGAAGAGGAAGACUGUUACAAAGGAGGAGGCAGCCGCAAUCAAGUCUGCAGGCAAGGCAUGGUAUCACACAAUGAUUUCAGAUAGCGACUACACUGAGUUUGAGAACUUCUCUAAAUGGCUCAAUGUUACCCAGUAAUCUAGUUUCUCUUCGUUUCAAAUUCUCUUGGACUAGAUUUUUUUUUUUUUACCUGUUUUUUUAACGAGAUUUUGUUAUCUGUUUUGUUAAAUUUAUUUUGCUAUUGGACAUGUAUGAGAAUGUGUUGCGAUUGGACAUCUGUGAUCUGUCAUAUGUUUGGUUGGUCCAAAGAAAGUUCAUAAUACACUUUGGCUAGUUCAAGAAUUUUAUAGUAUUGAUAUUAAAUAUUCUAGCAUUAGUAGUAUUGUUGACUUGUAUGCUUUGGACGGUUUGCAUGGGUGAGUGUUUCUUUUGGAAUGAUCAUUGGUGAAUCAACUAUCAGUCUUAAAA
rnacentral:misc_RNA from 1 species